UACGUAGGGGGCAAGCGUUGUCCGGAAUCAUUGGGCGUAAAGCGCGUGUAGGCGGCCAGGUAGGUCCGUUGUGAAAACUGGAGGCUUAACCUCCAGCUGUCGAUGGAAACCAUCUGGCUAGAGUCCGGAAGAGGAGAGUGGAAUUCCUGGUGUAGCGGUGAAAUGCGCAGAUAUCAGGAAGAACACCCGUGGCGAAGGCGGCUCUCUGGGACGGUACUGACGCUGAGACGCGAAAGCGUGGGGAGCGAACAGG
rnacentral:rRNA from 1 species